GAUGAAGUACGUAGCGAAAUGCGAUAAGUAAUGCGAAUUGCAGAAUUCAGUGAGUCAUCGAAUCUUUGAACGCACAUUGCGCCCUGUGGUAUUCCGCAGGGCAUGCCUGUUCGAGCGUCAUUUCAACCCUCAAGCUCUGCUUGGUGUUGGGCCCUGCCCGCUGCGGCCGGCCCUAAAGACAGUGGCGGUGCCGCCUGGCCCUGAGCGUAGUACAUCUCUCGCUCCAGUGCCCGGUGGUAGCCUGCCAGAACCCCAACUCUCGUGGUUGACCUCGGAUCAGGUAGGGAUACCCGCUGAACUUAAGCAUAUCAAUAAGCGGAGGA
rnacentral:misc_RNA from 1 species